rnacentral:rRNA from 1 species
AGUGAACGCUGGCGGUAGGCCUAACACAUGCAAGUCGAACGGCAGCACAGUAAGAGCUUGCUCUUACGGGUGGCGAGUGGCGGACGGGUGAGGAAUACAUCGGAAUCUACUUUUUCGUGGGGGAUAACGUAGGGAAACUUACGCUAAUACCGCAUACGACCUACGGGUGAAAGCAGGGGAUCUUCGGACCUUGCGCGAUUGAAUGAGCCGAUGUCGGAUUAGCUAGUUGGCGGGGUAAAGGCCCACCAAGGGGACGAUCCGUAGCUGGUCGGAGAGGAUGGUCGCCCACCGUUGAAGGGGGCCACGAGCCGAGCGACUAAGGGACGGAGCAGUGGGCGACUUGGGGCAAGGGGGGAGAGCAUGACCCAGCCAGCCCGGGCGGGAGAAGACGGCCCGUGGGUUGUAAAGACCUUUUUUGGGGAAAAAAAAGCAGUCGCUUAUAACCCCGCGGUUUUGACGGUAACCAAAGAAGAAGCACCGGCUAACUACGU